rnacentral:rRNA from 1 species
GUCCACGCCGUAAACGCUGAUCACUUGGUGUUGGAGGUAUUGACCCCUUCAGUGCCGAAGCUAACGCGUUAAGUGAUCCGCCUGGGGAGUACGGCCGCAAGGUUAAAACUCAAAGAAAUUGACGGGGGCCCGCACAAGCGGUGGAGCAUGUGGUUUAAUUCGAUGCAACGCGCAGAACCUUACCUGGGCUUGACAUGUAGUGGACAGGUACUAGAGAUAGUCCUUCUCUUCGGAGCUGCUACA